UUAGCCCUAAACACAGAUAAUUACAUAAACAAAAUUAUUCGCCAGAGUACUACUAGCAACAGCUUAAAACUCAAAGGACUUGGCGGUGCUUUAUAUCCUUCUAGAGGAGCCUGUUCUAUAAUCGAUAAACCCCGAUAAACCUCACCAAUUCUUGCUAAUACAGUCUAUAUACCGCCNUCUUCNGCNGUCCCUGGGAAAUGGGAGUGUAANCGUGUUAUUUNCNUGGAACGUUAGCUCNGGNUCUGCCUAUUAGUAAUUGAAAAUANCUCGUNCUCUCNCCAUAGAGAUCGGCACUAAGCUUUAUGAACCCGCUACCUAG
rnacentral:rRNA from 1 species